rnacentral:rRNA from 1 species
GUGGGGAAUAUUGGGCAAUGGGGGCAACCCUGACCCAGCGACGCCGCGUGGGUGAAGAAAUCCCUCGGGAUGUAAAGCCCUGUUGUAUGGGAAGAGCAGAAGACGGUACCAUACGAGGAAGCCCCGGCAAACUACGUGCCAGCAGCCGCGGUAAUACGUAGGGGGCAAGCGUUGUCCGGAAUUACUGGGCGUAAAGCGCACGCAGGCUGAAUUAUAAGUCGGUAGUCAAAUACGGAGGCUCAACUUCCGGAUAUCUAUCGAUACUGUAAAUCUAGAGUAUGUGAGAGGGAAGCGGAAUUCACGGUGUAGCGGUGAAAUGCGUAGAUAUCGGGAGGAACACCAGUGGCGAAGGCGGCUUCCUGGCACAAUACUGACGCUCAUGUGCGAAAGCUAGGGCAGCGAACGGGAUUAGAAACCCUUGUAGUCC